rnacentral:lncRNA from 1 species
UUUUUUAAAAUGACAGGAUUCUAUGUGUCUUUAUUCAUAUCAAACUUUUCAAACGUUACAUCGCACUUAUCUCCGACGUUUGAUAACAUCCCUUCCAAGAAGAUCGUACCGACACCGAUUGAGAAAGUUGUAUCUCUAGUCUCUCGGACCGGACGAGAUCUGCAACGUUACAAUAGCUCUGGUCAUCGUCAAGUCGUCGGGUAUGUUCAAUUUCUCAAACCCUAAUUUUUUUUUUCCUAAUUUGGGGGAAAAUGAUUUUUUUUUUGUAAUUGGAAUCUUAAAUAAUUUAUUCGAAAAUUUAUCUUUUGUGCAGAUGUGUACCUUACAGAUACAAGAAUCAUGGGUGUGGUGGUGGAGAGAUUGAAGUGCUUUUGAUAAGCGCACAGA